ACAUCCCUCCCCUGCUCAGGGCGGCCCUACACACUGAGCGUAGCCCUGCCGGGCUCCAUCCUGGACAAUGCUCAGUCGCCGGAGCUUCGCACCUACUUGGCCGGUCAGAUUGCCAGAGCCUGUGCCAUCUUCUGUGUGGAUGAGAUCGUGGUGUUUGAUGAGGAGGGCCAGGAUGCCAAGACUGUGGAGGGGGAAUUCACAGGAGUUGGGAAGAAGGGGCAGGCGUGCGUACAGCUGGCCCGGAUCCUGCAGUACCUGGAGUGUCCACAGUACCUGAGGAAGGCGUUCUUCCCCAAGCACCAGGAUCUACAGUUUGCAGGGCUCCUGAACCCCCUGGACAGCCCCCACCACAUGCGUCAGGAUGAGGAAUCCGAGUUCCGAGAGGGCAUCGUGGUGGAUCGGCCCACCCGGCCAGGCCACGGCUCCUUUGUCAACUGUGGCAUGAAAAAGG
rnacentral:sRNA from 1 species